CAUGCAAGCCGAGCGGUAGAUUGCUUUCGGGCAAUUGAGAGCGGCGUACGGGUGCGGAACACGUGUGCAACCUGCCUUUAUCAGGGGGAUAGCCUUUCGAAAGGAAGAUUAAUACCCCAUAAUAUAUCGAGUGGCAUCAUUUGAUAUUGAAAACUCCGGUGGAUAGAGAUGGGCACGCGCAAGAUUAGAUAGUUGGUGAGGUAACGGCUCACCAAGUCUACGAUCUUUAGGGGGCCUGAGAGGGUGAUCCCCCACACUGGUACUGAGACACGGACCAGAAUCCUACGGGAGGCAGCAGUGAGGAAUAUUGGACAAUGGGUGAGAGCCUGAUCCAGCCAUCCCGCGUGAAGGACGACGGCCCUAUGGGUUGUAAACUUCUUUUGUAUAGGGAUAAACCUACCCUCGUGAGGGUAGCUGAAGGUACUAUACGAAUAAGCACCGGCUAACUCCGUGCCAGCAGCCGCGGUAAUACGGAGGGUGCAAGCGUUAUCCGGAUUUAUUGGGUUUAAAGGGUCCGUAGGCUGAUCUGUAAGUCAGUGGUGAAAUCUCACAGCUUAACUGUGAAACUGCCAUUGAUACUGCAGUUCUUGAGUGUUGUUGAAGUAGCUGGAAUAAGUAGUGUAGCGGUGAAAUGCAUAGAUAUUACUUAGAACACCAAUUGCGAAGGCAGGUUACUAAGCAACAACUGACGCUGAUGGACGAAAGCGUGGGGAGCGAACAGGAUUAGAUACCCUGGUAGUCCACGCCGUAAACGAUGCUAACUCGUUUUUGGGGCGCAAGCUUCAGAGACUAAGCGAAAGUGAUAAGUUAGCCACCUGGGGAGUACGAACGCAAGUUUGAAACUCAAAGGAAUUGACGGGGGCCCGCACAAGCGGUGGAUUAUGUGGUUUAAUUCGAUGAUACGCGAGGAACCUUACCAAGGCUUAAAUGGGAGAUGACAGGUUUAGAAAUAGACUUUUCUUCGGACAUUUUUCAAGGUGCUGCAUGGUUGUCGUCAGCUCGUGCCGUGAGGUGUUAGGUUAAGUCCUGCAACGAGCGCAACCCCUGUCACUAGUUGCCAUCAUUAAGUUGGGGACUCUAGUGAGACUGCCUACGCAAGUAGAGAGAAAGGUGGGGAUGACGUCAAAUCAUCACGGCCCUUACGCCUUGGGCCACCCACGUAAUACAAUGGCCGGUACAGAGGGCAGCUACACUGCGAAGUGAUGCAAAUCUCGAAAGCCGGUCUCAGUUCGGAUUGGAGUCUGCAACUCGACUCUAUGAAGCUGGAAUCGCUAGUAAUCGCGCAUCAGCCAUGGCGCGGUGAAUACGUUCC
rnacentral:rRNA from 1 species